rnacentral:misc_RNA from 1 species
GAGAAGAACGUAGCGAAAUGCGAUACUUGGUGUGAAUUGCAGAAUCCCGUGAACCAUCGAGUCUUUGAACGCAAGUUGCGCCCGAAGCCAUUAGGCCGAGGGCACGCCUGCCUGGGCGUCACACGUCGUUGCCCCCCCAUCUACUCCUUCGGGAUUGCGGGGGGCGGAUGAUGGCCUCUCGUGCGCCUCGUCGCGCGGUUGGCCUAAAUGCCAAGUCCUCGGCGACGCACGCCACGACAAUCGGUGGUUGCGAAACCUCGGUUGCCUGUCGUGUGCGGUCGUCGCGCAUCGAGGGCUCGAAAAAAUUGCCGGGCUUCGGCUCGACUUUCAACGCGACCCCAGGUCAGGCGGGGUUACCCGCUGAAUUUAAGCAUAUCAAUAAGCGGAGGA